GACGAACGCUAGCGGCAGGCUUAACACAUGCAAGUCGAGGGGUAUAGUUCUUCGGAACUAGAGACCGGCGCACGGGUGCGUAACGCGUAUGCAAUCUACCUUUCACAAAGGGAUAGCCCAGAGAAAUUUGGAUUAAUACCUUAUAGUAAUACGACUUGGCAUCAAGAUGUAUUUAAAGAUUUAUCGGUGAAAGAUGAGCAUGCGUCCCAUUAGCUUGUUGGUAAGGUAACGGCUUACCAAGGCAACGAUGGGUAGGGGUCCUGAGAGGGAGAUCCCCCACACUGGUACUGAGACACGGACCAGACUCCUACGGGAGGCAGCAGUGAGGAAUAUUGGACAAUGGGCGCAAGCCUGAUCCAGCCAUGCCGCGUGCAGGAUGACGGUCCUAUGGAUUGUAAACUGCUUUUUGUACAGGAAGAAACCCUUUCACGUGUGGAAGAUUGACGGUACUGUAAGAAUAAGGAUCGGCUAACUCCGUGCCAGCAGCCGCGGUAAAGUG
rnacentral:rRNA from 1 species